rnacentral:rRNA from 1 species
AUACGUAGGGGGCAAGCGUUAUCCGGAUUUGCUGGGUGUAAAGGGAGCGUAGACGGUGUGACAAGUCUGAUGUGAAAACCCGGGGCUCAACUCCGGGAUUGCAUUGGAAACUGCCAUACUUGAGUGCAGGAGAGGUAAGCGGAAUUCCUAGUGUAGCGGUGAAAUGCGUAGAUAUUAGGAGGAACACCGGCGGCGAAGGCGGCUUACUGGACUGUAACUGACGUUGAGGCUCGAAAGCGUGGGGAGCAAACAGGAUUAGAUACCCUGGUAGUCCACGCGGUAAACGAUGAAUACUAGGUGUUGGGGGUCUAUAGACCCUCGGUGCCGCAGCAAACGCAAUAAGUAUUCCACCUGGGGAGUACGUUCGCAAGAAUGAAACUCAAAGGAAUUGACGGGG